rnacentral:rRNA from 1 species
UACAGAGGGUGCAAGCGUUGCUCGGAAUCAUUGGGCGUAAAGGGCAGGUAGGUGGUCUCAUUUGUCUUGUGUGAAAUCCUUGGGCUUAACCCAAGAAGUGCGCAAGAAACGGUGAGACUCGAGUUCUGGAGAGGGUCGUGGAAUUCCCGGUGUAGCGGUGAAAUGCGUAGAGAUCGGGAGGAACACCAGAGGCGAAGGCGGCGACCUGGACAGACACUGACACUCAACUGCGAAAGCGUGGGGAGCAAACAGG